GAUGAACGCUGGCGGCGUGCCUAAUACAUGCAAGUCGAGCGAACAGACGAGGAGCUUGCUCCUCUGACGUUAGCGGCGGACGGGUGAGUAACACGUGGAUAACCUACCUAUAAGACUGGGAUAACUUCGGGAAACCGGAGCUAAUACCGGAUAAUAUAUUGAACCGCAUGGUUCAAUAGUGAAAGACGGUUUUGCUGUCACUUAUAGAUGGAUCCGCGCCGCAUUAGCUAGUUGGUAAGGUAACGGCUUACCAAGGCAACGAUGCGUAGCCGACCUGAGAGGGUGAUCGGACACACUGGAACUGAGACACGGUCCAGACUCCUACGGGAGGCAGCAGUAGGGAAUCUUCCGCAAUGGGCGAAAGCUUGACGGGGCAACGCCGCGUGAGUGAUGAAGGUCUUCGGAUCGUAAAACUCUGUUAUUAGGGAAGAACAAAUGUGUAAGUAACUAUGCACGUCUUGACGGUACCUAAUCAGAAAGCCACGGCUAACUACGUG
rnacentral:rRNA from 1 species